AUGCUCUGUUGUAUUACCAGCUCCUAGAAACCCAUGACACCAGGCAUACUUUCCUCUUGAGUCACAUGAAUGUCUGCAUUGUGUAAUAUCCUGCCUCUAUUAAACUUCUGUUUUCAGCUUGCCUCAUGAGAAUUUAGUUGCCUGUGGUACCUUGUUGUAGUAAAUUAGAGCUAACUGGUGGGACGUGGCUACUGCUCUCUCUCACACACACACACACAAUCAUCAUCUCUGUGAAUCUCCAGGAGGAUCUGGGAGAUUUUCUACAAGCAAGAAGGAAACCAGGUGCACACGUCCUCCAGAACCGUUCUUCUUUCCUGCUGAAGGUGAACAUGUCUUUUGUACUCACACGGCAGACUAAGAUGGCCACUUGCGGGUCAUGUUUCUGGUGCAUCAUAUGGCUCAUUGUUCUGCUGUUCAUUGGCUGGCCCAUCAGCAUCGCUUUAGGGGGUCUCUACGGCCUCAUCAGCCCCCUCACCACCUGCCUUGGCCUGGACCGACUGUCUGACUUACUCCUGGAGGGAGCUAAUGUGGGCAGAACCUGUGCCAAUAACAUGAGGCACAGCAAGCCUUUGUGUUGAAAUCCAUCCUGUCUGAUCAGGACCAGAAAAAACAGAGGUCGAAGCCUUCACCUCAGGAAGAACUGUUAAUGUCUGAUUUAUGUGGAGCUAUUCCAGCACGACUGGUGCACAAUUCCCUGAGAAACCUUCCAGCAACUUAUGUCACAAUAAGGUCCAGAAAGUCCUGGAAAAUUGAUUCCUCUCUCACUGGUAACAUGUAAUUAAUCACAGAUUUUAAAUUUGCAUGGGUUUGUCAGGAAGAAAAUAGGCUUGCAGUUCAUGGUCUGUGUUUGCUGUUUAAUUCACAAUGACGCUGCGUGGAGACGAUAAGAACGAAAAUGCCAAUUUAACAAUGAAAAUAUUUAGACUUGGUAAUGUCUGUAUGGAAAUAUAUGGAAAUGCGAUUAAAACUGCUUUGAACUUGCCCUUCGUGUUUGUUAAUUGACUUUUGGUGCACGUAUUCUGAGGAAAAUCCAUCCCGUGAAAUACUGAAAGUAAAUGGGGAGAAAGAGA
ensembl:lncRNA